GCGGGUGUCGUACAACGGCUAGUAUAUAAGUUUUCCAAACUUAGGACGAGAGUUCGAUUCUCUCCACCCGCACCA
rnacentral:tRNA from 1 species